rnacentral:rRNA from 1 species
AGAACGAACGCUGGCGGCAUGCCUAACACAUGCAAGUCGAACGAGACCUUCGGGUCUAGUGGCGCACGGGUGCGUAACGCGUGGGAAUCUGCCCUUAGGUACGGAAUAACAGUGAGAAAUUACUGCUAAUACCGUAUGAUGUCUUCGGACCAAAGAUUUAUCGCCUAGGGAUGAGCCCGCGUUGGAUUAGCUAGUUGGUGGGGUAAGGGCCUACCAAGGCGACGAUCCAUAGCUGGUCUGAGAGGAUGAUCAGCCACACUGGGACUGAGACACGGCCCAGACUCCUACGGGAGGCAGCAGUGGGAAUAUUGGACAAUGGGCGAAAGCCUGAUCCAGCAAUGCCGCGUGAGUGAAGAAGGCCUUCGGGUUGUAAAGCUCUUUUACCCGGGAAGAUAAUGACUGUACCGGGAGAAGUAAGCCCCGGCUAACUCCGUGCCAGCAGCCGC